rnacentral:rRNA from 1 species
UACGGGGGGGGCAAGCGUUGUUCGGAAUUACUGGGCGUAAAGGGCGCGUAGGCGGCCUGUUAAGUCGAACGUGAAAUCCCCGGGCUCAACCCGGGAACUGCGUCCGAUACUGGCAGGCUUGAAUUCGGGAGAGGGAUGCGGAAUUCCAGGUGUAGCGGUGAAAUGCGUAGAUAUCUGGAGGAACACCGGUGGCGAAGGCGGCAUCCUGGACCGGUAUUGACGCUGAGGCGCGAAAGCUAGGGGAGCAAACGGG